AUUCUAUGAUGAUUCUAUCAAAAUGACUCAUUCUUCUCAGUAUGCUGGAGCCACAUUUUAGAUACUGAGAAGU